rnacentral:pre_miRNA from 1 species
AAGCAAAUCGUAUGACAAUGGUAGAGAGCACGCUAGUAGACAGCCUUGCCAUUUGCACGAAUGCUGACGGGUGUGCUCUCUCUCAUUGUCAAACAAAGUUG